rnacentral:lncRNA from 1 species
CGCAAAGAUGGAAGACAUGUGUGGUGUGCGUAAACUACCUUUGGCACGUGAGUAACAAGCAUGGAGAUCCACCCAUGUAGGUUGGUAACUCGUACACGUGAAGUAACAUGCGAGAGUGUGGCUAGAACAACUCGCAUGCCCCACACGUGCACAAGACCCGAGCAGCAUGCGCACAGUCCCUCGCAUGUGCACAAACCUGGGGUUGCACGCUUUGUCCGUACGUGCACGACCCGCAUCUCAGGAUUCCCGCAAACGGCAGGCUCCCACUUAGUCGCCCUAUGCGGCGGGGCCCACAACUGGCCCAGUCAGCCUAAACACACAAGCUCGCAACCCCCGCAGCCUUGCUUUACACGACCUGAGCUUGUCGGUCGGCCCAAUCUGAUUGGGUGCCCCAAAACUUGCCCUCCCCUAUUUUUUUAAUUAUUUAUUUAAUUUAAAAAUUUUAAAAGGCUUUUGGGACCC